AGGACGAACGCUGGCGGCGUGCUUAACACAUGCAAGUCGAGCGGAAAGGCCCUUCGGGGUACUCGAGCGGCGAACGGGUGAGUAACACGUGAGCAACCUGCCCCUGGCUCUGGGAUAGCCUCCGGAAACGGGGAUUAAUACCGGACAUGACCCUUUGACCGCAUGGUUGGGGGUGGAAAGUUUUUCGGCCAGGGUGGGGCUCGCGGCCUAUCAGCUUGUUGGGGGGGUGACGGCCCACCAAGGCGACGACGGGUAGCCGGCCUGAGAGGGCGACCGGCCACACUGGGACUGAGACACGGCCCAGACUCCUACGGGAGGCAGCAGUGGGGAAUAUUGCGCAAUGGGCGGAAGCCUGACGCAGCGACGCCGCGUGCGGGAUGAAGGCCUUCGGGUUGUAAACCGCUUUCACCAGGGGCGAAGCGAGAGUGACGGUACCUGGGGAAGAAGCGCCGGCUAACUACGCGCCAGCAGCCGC
rnacentral:rRNA from 1 species